rnacentral:rRNA from 1 species
UGUUAAGUUUUUAAGAGCGCACGGUGGAUGCCUUGGCACGAGGAACCGAAGAAGGACGUAGGAAUCUGCGAUAAGCCUCGGGGAGUCGAUAACCAGACUGUGAUCCGAGGGUGUCCGAAUGGGGAAACCCGGCCAGCUUCAUCGCUGGUCACCCGCACCUGAAUGUAUAGGGUGUGUGGAGGGAACGUGGGGAAGUGAAACAUCUCAGUACCCACAGGAAGAGAAAACAACAUGUGAUUCCGUGAGUAGUGGCGAGCGAAAGCGGAUGAGGCUAAACCGUAGUUGUGUGAUACCUGGUAGGGGUUGCAGCUGCGGGGUUGUGGGAGCGUGACUGACCGGGACUACCAUCCUGGUGCGUAGUGAGAAAUCGUGUGGUGUAGGUGAAGGGUCUGGAAAGGCCUGGCGUAGACGGUGAGACCCCGGUAGCCGAAACACCCGCGACUGCGUGUUGCGCCUCCCGAGUAGUACGGGGCCCGAGAAAUCUCGUACGAAUCUGGCAGGACCACCUGCUAAGCCUAAAUAUUACCUCGUGACCGAUAGCGGACAAGUACCGUGAGGGAAAGGUGAAAAGUACCCCGGGAGGGGAGUGAAAUAGUUCCUGAAACCGUGCGCUUACAAUCCGUCGGGGCUCACACCUUGUGUGUGGGUGACGGCGUGCCUUUUGAAGAAUGAGCCUGCGAGUUAGUGCUCAGUGGCGAGGUUAACCCGUGUGGGGGAGCCGUAGCGAAAGCGAGUCCGAACAGGGCGUAUGAGUCGCUGGGUCUAGACCCGAAGCGGAGUGAUCUACCCAUGGCCAGGGUGAAGCGCGGGUAAGACCGCGUGGAGGCCCGAACCCACUUAGGUUGAAAACUGAGGGGAUGAGCUGUGGGUAGGGGUGAAAGGCCAAUCAAACUCCGUGAUAGCUGGUUCUCCCCGAAAUGCAUUUAGGUGCAGCGUCAUGUGUUUCUUGCCGGAGGUAGAGCUACUGGAUGGCUGAUGGGCCUUACCGGGUUACUGACGUCAGCCAAACUCCGAAUGCCGGUAAGUGAGAGCAUGGCAGUGAGACUGCGGGGGAUAAGCUUCGUAGUCGAGAGGGAAACAGCCCAGAUCACCAGCUAAGGUCCCUAAGCGUGUGCUAAGUGGGAAAGGAUGUGGAGUUGCGAAGACAACCAGGAGGUUGGCUUAGAAGCAGCCACCCUUGAAAGAGUGCGUAAUAGCUCACUGGUCAAGUGAUUCCGCGCCGACAAUGUAGCGGGGCUCAAGCACACCACCGAAGCUGUGGCACCAGCACUUUCGCUCAGCAUCACCCUGGGUGGUGUUCAGGCGUGCUGGUGGGUAGGGGAGCGUCGUGCCGGGAGUGAAGCAUCCGAGUGAUCGAGGUGUGGAUCCGGCACGAGUGAGAAUGCAGGCAUGAGUAGCGAAUGAAGAGUGAGAAACUCUUCCGCCGAAUCACCAAGGGUUCCAGGGUCAAGCUAAUCUGCCCUGGGUAAGUCGGGACCUAAGGCGAGGCCGACAGGCGUAGUCGAUGGACAUCCGGUUGAUAUUCCGGAACCGGCGAAGAACCGCCCAGUACCGAGGCCGGGGAUGCUGAGCGCCUGAAGCCACCCACAACCUUGACCGUUCGCGGUCGGGGGCGGGUGGUGGAACGCGUGACCCAAUCCGGUAGUAGGUAAGCGAUGGAAGGACGCAGGAAGGUAGCCUCCGCGUGGCGAUGGUUGUCCACGUCGAAGAGCGCAGGGCCGGGGAGUGGUAAGUCCGCCCCAGUAGUGCCCGAGGCUUGAUCGUGACCGCGUAUGCGGGAAGCAGGGUGAUCCUAUGCUGCCAAGAAAAGUUCCUAGCGAGGUUCGAGCCGCCCGUACCCCAAACCGACUCAGGUGGUGAGGUAGAGAAUACCGAGGCGAUCGAGUGAAUCGUGGUUAAGGAAUUCGGCAAAAUGCCCCCGUAACUUCGGGAGAAGGGGGGCCCGAGACGUGAAACCCCUUGCGGGUUAGCGUUGAGGGCCGCAGAGACCAGGGAGAAGCGACUGUUUACUAAAAACACAGGUCCGUGCGAAGUCGCAAGACGAUGUAUACGGACUGACGCCUGCCCGGUGCUGGAACGUUAAGGGGACGGGUCAACCCAUUCGUGGGUGAAGCUCUGAACUUAAGCGCCAGUAAACGGCGGUGGUAACUAUAACCAUCCUAAGGUAGCGAAAUUCCUUGUCGGGUAAGUUCCGACCUGCACGAAUGGCGUAACGACUUCUCCACUGUCUCAACCGCGAACUCGGCGAAAUUGCACUACGAGUAAAGAUGCUCGUUACGCGCAGCAGGACGGAAAGACCCCGGGACCUUUACUAUAGCUUGGUAUUGGUGUUCGGUACGGCUUGUGUAGGAUAGGUGGGAGACUGUGAAGCAGCCACGCCAGUGGUUGUGGAGUCAACGUUGAAAUACCACUCUGGUCGUUCUGGAUUCCUAACCUCGGUCCGUGAUCCGGAUCAGGGACAGUGCCUGGUGGGUAGUUUAACUGGGGCGGUUGCCUCCCAAAAAGUAACGGAGGCGCCCAAAGGUUCCCUCAGCCUGGUUGGCAAUCAGGUGUCGAGUGUAAGUGCACAAGGGAGCUUGACUGUGAGACAGACAUGUCGAGCAGAGACGAAAGUCGGGACUAGUGACCCGACGGUGGCUCGUGGAAGCGCCGUCGCUCAACGGAUAAAAGGUACCCCGGGGAUAACAGGCUGAUCCUGCCCAAGAGCUCAUAUCGACGGCAUGGUUUGGCACCUCGAUGUCGGCUCGUCGCAUCCUGGGGCUGGAGUCGGUCCCAAGGGUUGGGCUGUUCGCCCAUUAAAGCGGUACGCGAGCUGGGUUUAGAACGUCGUGAGACAGUUCGGUCCCUAUCCGCUGCGCGCGCAGGAAACUUGAGAAGAGCUGUCCCUAGUACGAGAGGACCGGGAUGGACGAACCACUGGUGUGUCAGUUGUUCCGCCAGGAGCACCGCUGAUUAGCUACGUUCGGACGUGAUAACCGCUGAAAGCAUCUAAGCGGGAAGCACACUUCAAGAUGAGGUUUCCAACACCCAUUGGGUGGAGAGGCUCCCAGCUAGACUACUGGGUUGAUAGGCCGGACGUGGAAGCACAGCAAUGUGCGUAGCUGACCGGUACUAAUAAGCCGACAACUUAACAAA